AAGUCUCAGCCAAACCAGUGCCGCAUUCAUCUUUUUCUUUCACUCUCUAGCCUCCUCUCCACUCCCAUUACAUUCUUCUUAGGUUAUCAACGUUGGACCCUUCUCUCUCAAUAUUGCAACGUCGUCGUCAUCUAACCCCGAAAUAUGGGUGGCUGCGGCUGCAGUUCCGGUUCCUGUUCUAGAGGAUUUUCCAGAGCCUCUGUAGUGGGCAGGUUUCUUUGGCAGAGGAUCAAAGAUUAAGCAUUCAUGUUUGGAAUGGGAGGCGUUGGCAAGAUGUGUUGAUCACCUGUGUAUUGGUGUCUUUACGGUUCUUUCGCAAGUGUUUUUUGUUUAUUGAAUAUUUUGAAUGCGUGUUAGAACAUCUUUUUCAAGCACCAUACAUGGAUGUGCUUUCAAUAAGUGGUAUUGCUCUGAAGUACAUCAGAACAGCCCUGAAUAUGGUGAAAGGAGGGGAAAUGCUGGAGGACAAGGAGAGGAGAAGGAAGGAUUUUCCAGGGCUUCUGUAGUGGGCAGGUUUCUUUGGCAGAAUAUCACAGAUUAAGUAAAUUCAUAUUUGGAAUGGGAGGCAUUGGCAAGAAGUACUGUGAUUCAAGGGCAGUUUUUUCGGUACCUUGUGCUGUCCAGCAUUGUUAUUGAUGCGCGAAGUGUAAUGUGGUUAAUUAGGUUUCUGUGUGGUUUUUGAGAAAGGAAGGAGUAGAAAGUUAAACUAGUAAGAAACAAAUUUAUAACUUCAUACUGUGUGUAUAUUAACUAAAUGUUAUAAAUGGCUGUGUUUGGCGACUUAAUGCUUGUUAUGAGAGCUUGUUUUGUACACAAUUUCAGAGGACUUGAGGUUUAGAGUCUAGGCUUUAUGUAUCGUCUUAUUGCUGGUUUAUGUAUCAUAUUAUUGCAGACUUGAAGUUCAAAUAGGUUAUCAGAAUUGAGU